rnacentral:rRNA from 1 species
AUUGAACGCUGGCGGCAGGCCUAACACAUGCAAGUCGAACGAGUGGCGGACGGGUGAGUAAUGUCUGGGAAACUGCCUGAUGGAGGGGGAUAACUACUGGAAACGGUAGCUAAUACCGCUUACCAUCAGAUCUGCCCAGAUGGGAUUAGCUAGUUGGUGGGGUAACGGCUCACCAAGGCGAAGAUCCCUAGCUGGUCUGAGAGGAUGACCAGCCACACUGGAACGGAGACACGGUCCAGACUCCUACGGGAGGCAGCAGUGGGGAAUAUUGCGCAAUGGGCGAAAGCCUGAUGCAGCAACGCCGCGUGAAUGAAGAAGGCCUUCGGGUUGUAAAGUACUUUCGGCAGGGAGGCGUUACCCACAGAAGAAGCACCGGCUAACUCCGUGCCAGCAGCCGCGGUAAUUC